GUGGGGAAUAUUGGACAAUGGGGGCAACCCUGAUCCAGCCAUGCCGCGUGUGUGAAGAAGGCCUUCGGGUUGUAAAGCACUUUCAGCGGGGAGGAAAGGGCGCUGGUUAAUACCUGGCGCAGUUGACGUUACCCGCAGAAGAAGCACCGGCUAACUCCGUGCCAGCAGCCGCGGUAAUACGGAGGGUGCGAGCGUUAAUCGGAAUUACUGGGCGUAAAGCGCGCGUAGGCGGCCAACUAAGUCGGUUGUGAAAGCCCCGGGCUCAACCUGGGAAUGGCAGUCGAUACUGGUUGGCUGGAGUAUGGGAGAGGACAGUGGAAUUCCAGGUGUAGCGGUGAAAUGCGUAGAGAUCUGGAGGAACAUCAGUGGCGAAGGCGACUGUCUGGCCUGAUACUGACGCUGAGGUGCGAAAGCGUGGGGAGCAAACAGGAUUAGAUACCCGUGUAGUCC
rnacentral:rRNA from 1 species